rnacentral:rRNA from 1 species
AUUGAACGCUGGCGGCAUGCUUUACACAUGCAAGUCGAACGGCAGCGCGGGCUUCGGCCUGGCGGCGAGUGGCGAACGGGUGAGUAAUACAUCGGAACGUGCCCAGUAGUGGGGGAUAGCUCGGCGAAAGCCGGAUUAAUACCGCAUACGACCUGAGGGUGAAAGCGGGGGAUCUUCGGACCUCGCGCUAUUGGAUCGGCCGAUGGCAGAUUAGCUAGUUGGUGGGGUAAAGGCCUACCAAGGCGACGAUCUGUAGCUGGUCUGAGAGGACGCCCAGCCACACUGGGACUGAGACACGGCCCAGACGCCUACGGGAGGCAGCAGUGGGGAAGUUUGGACAAUGGGCGAAAGCCUGAUCCAGCAAUGCCGCGUGUGUGAUGAAGGCCGUCGGGUUGUAAAGCACUUUUGGCGGGAACGAAAAGGACUGUGCCAAUACCACGGUUCGAUGACGGUACCCGCAGAAUAAGCACCGGCUAACUACGUG